GUCGAGCGAAGCUUUUCAGUAGUUUACUACAGAAAAUGACUGAGCGGCGAACGGGUGAGUAACGCGUGAGCAACCUACCUUAGUUACUGGGAUAGCCCGAGGAAACUCGGAUUAAUACCGGAUAUUCUUAUUUAAUCACAUGAUUUUUUAAGGAAAGGUCAGCCGAACUAAGAUGGGCUCGCGUUCUAUCAGCUAGUUGGUAGGGUAAUGGCCUACCAAGGCUACGACGGAUAGCUGGUCUGAGAGGACGAUCAGCCACACUGGGACUGAGACACGGCCCAGACUCCUACGGGAGGCUGCAGCAGGGAAUAUUGCGCAAUGAGCGAAAGCUUGACGCAGCGACACCGCGUGUGGGAUGACGGAUCUAGGUUUGUAAACCACUUUCAGGAGGGAAGAAAAUGACGGUACCUCCACAAGAAGCCCCGGCCAACUACGUGCCAGCAGCCGCGGUAAUACGUAGGGGGCGAGCGUUGUCCGGAUUUAUUGGGCGUAAAGAGCUCGUAGGCGGUUCAACAAGUCGGUCGUGAAAGUUCAGGGCUCAACCCUGAAAUGUCGAUCGAUACUGUUGUGACUAGGAUACGGUAGAGGUGAGUGGAAUUCCGAGUGUAGCGGUGAAAUGCGUAGAUAUUCGGAGGAACACCAAUUGCGAAGGCAGCUCACUGGGCCGCUAUCGACGCUGAGGAGCGAAAGCUAGGGGAGCAAA
rnacentral:rRNA from 1 species